rnacentral:rRNA from 1 species
AAGGUUUCCGUAGGUGAACCUGCGGAAGGAUCAUUAUAGAAUAAACUUGAACGGGCUGUUGCUCUCCUAUGGUGCACGCCUGUCAUAUUUAUCUCUCCAACUGUGCACACUUUGUAGANCUGGUGUUUUGGGAAUUGCUUACAGUAGUUGGCUUUGCCCUUUGCUUCUCGCCAGUCUAUGUUAUUUUAUCACAACCUCUGAAUGUUUUGAACUUUAUGAUGGAAAUUAUAUACAACUUUCAGCAACGGAUCUCUUGGCUCUCGCAUCGAUGAAGAACGCAGCGAAAUGCGAUAAGUAAUGUGAAUUGCAGAAUUCAGUGAAUCAUCGAAUCUUUGAACGCAUCUUGCGCUUCUUGGUAUUCCAAGGAGCAUGCCUGUUUGAGUGUCAUUAAAGUUCUCAAAACUACAUGUUUGUUCAUGUGGAAUUUUGGAUAUGGGGGUUGCAGGCUUUUCAAGUCGGCUCCUCUGAAAUGUAUCAGUGGUAUCUGUGUGGAACUACAGGUGUGAUAAAUAAAAUCUAUNCCUUGUCUCUCACUGUGCUGCUUCUAACGGAUUGGAUUGACAAAUUUGACCUCAAAUCAGGUAGGACUACCCGCUGAACUUAAGCAUAUCAAUAAGCGGAGGAAAAGAAACUAACAAGGAUUCCCCUAGUAACUGCGAGUGAAGCGGGAAAAGCUCAAAUUUGAAAUCUGACGGUUCUU